AAUGAACGCUGGCGGCAUGCCUAACACAUGCAAGUCGAACGAAGGCUUCGGCCUUAGUGGCGCACGGGUGCGUAACGCGUGGGAAUCUGCCCUUGGGUUCGGAAUAACAGUUAGAAAUGACUGCUAAUACCGGAUGAUGUCGUAAGACCAAAGAUUUAUCGCCCAAGGAUGAGCCCGCUUAGGAUUAGCUAGUUGGUGGGGUAAAGGCCUACCAAGGCGACGAUCCUUAGCUGGUCUGAGAGGAUGAUCAGCCACACUGGGACUGAGACACGGCCCAGACUCCUACGGGAGGCAGCAGUGGGGAAUAGUGGACCAUGGGCGAAAGCCUGAUCCAGCAAUGCCGCGUGAGUGAUGAAGGCAGUAGGGUUGUAAAGCUCUUUUAACCGGGAUGAUAAUGACAGUACCGGGAGAAUAAGCCCCGGCUAACUUCGUG
rnacentral:rRNA from 1 species